rnacentral:rRNA from 1 species
CUUAGUGGCGAACGGGUGAGUAACAGGUAGGUAACCUACCCAAUAGACGGGGAUAACGUUGGAAACGAACGCUAAUACCGGAUAGUAUAACGAAUCGCAUGGUUUGUUAUUUAAAGGUGCGUAUGCACCACUAUUGGAGGGGCCUGCUUCGUAUUAGCUAGUUGGUGAGGUAAUGGCUCACCAAGGCGACGAUGCGUAGCUGAGCUGAGAGGCUGAUCGGCCACACUGGAACUGAGACACGGUCCAGACUCCUACGGGAGGCAGCAGUUAGGGAUAUUCGGCAAUGGGGGAAACCCUGACCGAGCAAUGCCGCGUGAAUGAAGAAGUAUUUCGAUAUGUAAAGUUCUGUUGUUAAGGAAGAAAGGUACGAAUAGGAAAUGAUUCGUAAUUGACGGUACUUAACCAGAAAGCCCCUGCUAACUACGUGCCAGCAGCAGCGGUAAUACGUAGGGGGCGAGCGUUAUCCGGAAUUAUUGGGCGUAAAGGGUGCGUAGGCGGCCUGUCAAGUCCGAGUUGACAGCCCACGGCUUAACCGUGGAGGGUGCUCGGAAACUGAUAGGCUUGAAUCCAGAAGAGGGCAGUGGACUUCUAUGUGGAACGGUGGAAUGCGUAGAUAUAUGGAGGAAACACAGUGGCGAAGGCCGCUUGCUGGGGUGGUUUGAAG